UCAGUAUAUAAUACUGGUGGUGGACAGUACAGAUAGGGAAAGAUUGUCAAUUACCAAAGAAGAGUUGUGCAAAAUGAUGGCCAAUGAGGACUUGAAGAAGUCAGCUGUAUUAAUAUUUGCCAACAAACAAGACAUCAAAGGUUCAAUGUCAGCCGCUGAGAUUUCUCAACAUUUAAAUCUGACAACAAUAAAAGACCACCCCUGGCAUAUACAGGCAUGCUGUGCUCUAACUGGUGAAGGAUUGUAUCAGGGCCUGGAGUGGAUCACAAAUAAUUUAAAGAAACGAUGACCUUGUGCUACUGUUUUAUAUUAGGAAAUUAUUAUAUAUAAGUGUAUAAAUACUUGCCAGAUUAUAAAGGCAUUCUUGUCCUGGUUGAUUUUUGAAAGAUCUGCCACAGGAAGUGAAAGCCAAAAAUUCUCCUUCAAAAUUGGAGAGUAUUUCAGGAAACAGGAAGUAGAUACAAAGUUUUGUGUUCCUGCUUUGAAGACUGGUUAAUUUGAUAUUGACAAAAAAGUACCAGUAUUUAAACAGUGUGUGAUUGAAGGACAAGAAAUUGAAAAUCAAAGCGAAAUACUGCCAUAAUGACAAUAACAAACUCGUUUUGUCAUUUAAUGAAAUAUUGAAAUCAACUGAUUCCUUUUUACCAUCUCCACCUUUUAUACCAUUAGUCAAUGUUAAUGUUUAAAGGUGAUUUUGUGAUGUGGCUGUGACCAAGAUCUGUUGGUCCUGUGAUUUAUUGCCUAAUUUAUUGAGAAAGUAAUUACACUAGAUUGUAAUGGAAAAUAUGAAUUGGGGAAACUACAAGAAUAGCAAGAAGAAAAUAUUGAACAAGAAGAGAAAGGUGUAAAUGAUAAUACAUAAAGACACAUACUAAAGAUGGUAUUUAUUUGAAUGUUUUAGAUAUAUUUUUAGUCAAAUAGGAUUUUUUUUUCAUUCUCGAAGCUUAUUCUGUCACUGUUUAACUGGCUCAAAAACACUACAUGAUUCAUCACAUUACCUGAAAGCCUUUUAUAUGUGCAUAAAGAUGAAGAAAAAGAUCCAAUAAUUUCUAAAGAAAGACCAGAAAGAUAAUACAGGUCCAAUGAUUUCAAAAGGAAGUGCAUAAAGAUGGGGAAAAAUAGGUCCGAUAAUUUCAAAAGGAAGUGUAUAAAGAUGAAAGAAACAGGUCCAAUAAUUUCAAAAGGAAGUGUAUAAAGAUGAAAGAAACAGGUCCAAUAAUUUCAAAAGGAAGUGUAUAAAGAUGAAAAAAGAAACCAACAGGUCCAAUAGUUUUGAAAGGAAGUGCAUAAAGAUAAAGAAACAGGUCUCUGAUUUUUUAAAGGAAGUGCAUAUAGAUGUAGAAAAAACAAGUCCAAUCAUUUUGAAGUGCAUAAAUAUGUAAAGAACAGUUCCAGUAACAACUGUGGAAAAUAUAUUUCAACACUAACAACAACAAGCAGCCAGGGAUUAGUUUAUUGGUGUAGGAAUUUUAUUCAUGUGCCAACAUUAUUCUAAGACAAAAAAUAGUUCUAGAAGGAUGCAUGCAUGAUUUUACCUUUUGUAUAUAUUGAUCCAUUAUAAGAAUGAAAGGUUAGGUUUUACAGGGUUAUAUCUGUAUAUAUAGUUAGAUUUAGGUGAUUUUAUUUAUAGAAUAACGGUAGUAGGUGUCAGAGUCAGUAAAAGUGCCGAGAGCUUUGAAGUGCUGUUAUGAAAUUUAUAUGAUGAAAAAAAUUAUACAAUUAAGGAUGUUUGUUAUCAACUAAUAUUGAAUAUAAUUAUAAGUAGAUUAAUCAAGGAAAUAAGGGGAUGCUGUCAGAAAUAUGUAGUCAAUUGUUUUUAUUUAUAUUGUAGGAAAUUUAUUGAAGUCAACAUAAAUUUAGGUACCCUUUAAGGGGGCUUGAUAGGUGGAUAUUGUUUUAUUUUGGCAUGAUGAUCUUCUAGAUUUGCUGUCAUUCAUUUGACAAUGAAGAAAGAAAAAACAACUGUUUCCAACGUUACCAUUCUCAUUGUAAAAAUUAGAAUAGGGGUUAAUCUCUUCAAUCAUUUAUGAGAAAGUUGUAUUUACAGUUUUAAGGCAAUUAGCACUGCCAUAACUCAGAAGAAAUAAAGAACAAUUUUUCUUUUGCUUUCUAAUCUUUUAUAUACUUUCUAAAUUUUCACGAUAUGCUUUUGGGUUUUGUAAUAUUAUGCAUUAUCUAUAUUGCAAACUUUUAUUUUAUCUAACAUCUGGUAAGAAUAAUGAACAAAAAAAAAUGAAGAUAUCAUGCAUGGGCAACUGUGAAAGUUGCAUGGGUGACUGUGAAAGUAUAAGAGAGUGACCAGUGAUGCUUUAUUUGAUUGAAUGUGCUUGCCUUGAGUUCAUUUUACAGUCGAUAUUUGCUUAUUCCAAGUAAACUUAUCUAUUCAGUCAUACCAUAUAGUGAACCUAGUCAUUCUUGUAUUUUUAUUCUUGCACAUUUUAUAGUUUAGGACGGCUAGCUUAGGGAGUGAAAUUUUGGAAGAAUGUGAAGCUUCUUUAGUAUAAUCAUUUUCCACAUUAUAUCUGAUAAACAUGAAAAUGUAGAUCAGUAUAAUUAUAUAUUUAUGAUUGAAGUAAAUUAGAGGUGUCGUUUUUUUACUGUUUGAGUGCUUUCUUAGAAAAUGGCUUACCACCAGUGCUUAGCAGGGCUGGUCCAUGCAGUCAGGCAGUACAUAAAAUUAAUACAGUUACUCACUUAGUAUUCUGAGACUGAAAUAUCUUAAAUCCUAAAUGAAAUUUUCCAAAUUUAAAAUAAGGGCAAGUCCGAUCAAAAAUAAGCUAGGUAGAGAUUAAGAGUUACACCUGUUAAAAGCUUAGCUGUAGAUUAAAAAUAUAACUACUCCUAAUAUAAAUUUAAAUUUUGUGCACAUUUUGUCUGGAUAUACUGAAACACAGACUCUACUUUAACUCGAACAAAAUUUUCAGCAUUAAGAAAAAACUUCCUUAGCAUUUUAAUUGGAAAUGCCCAAAGUUAUUUCUAAGAACAUUAAGUCUCAUUGUUACUGGUAUGAAAAUCAUAAUUUCUUGUAUAAAAAUAAGACGAUAGGUUGAUAUGAUUUCAUAUAUUUGAAUUUUCAAACCAAUUUUUCCUACAUUCAGAUAACAAGACAUUACUAAAUUGAUAAUAAUAAGCAUUUUCCUACUUGGUGCCAGAUUGUAGAUUGCCUUAAGAGUGUAACUAUACUGGCAUGCGAGCAGUUCCCGUACAGAAGCAGUACCCGUAUUUUUCAUUUAAACACUUGAUUUUUACUUGCAUUCUUCAAAAAUUUAUUUCAAAUCAAGCAGAUACAUAAACAAGACAAAAUCUAAGUGUCAGUUUGGCAGUACGUUUAAAAAAUCUCAUUAUAAAUCACUUUCACCUGUGCGUCGUCAAAACGUGACCUUGUUUUCUCUGGGGGAUUCCGUCCUUGCGCGCAUGCGCAAAAAUACUUACACAUGAGGCUUGUUAAAGGGUUUUCCACUAAUACCACCUGUUUACAGAUAAGUAGGCAAUGUGAUGAAAACUUGUUUAAUUAUCAUAAUUUUGACCAAUAUUACUAUAUAAAAUAAUUUUAUGGCUUUGAUGCGUAAAAUAUCAUGCAUACAAGCAUGAUAUUGCAUGUAAAUGCGUUGGGGUAACAGUACCGGGUAAUAGAUACCCGCGUUUAGUCUACGCUCUAUUUCCUGAAUUACAUCUAUUUAUCUCUUAGAUAAUGGUCUGUUCAACAAUUGUAAAUGAAAAAAAUAGGUCCGAUAUAAUAAAAUUGUAUAAUUAUAAUGGGUUAGAUUUUAUGUACUACUUCUCUUCAUACAAAAUAAUGGAUAAUUUCGGUACCCCAUUUGAGGCCUCAUAAGUAAGGGUUAUUCUAUGUUUAUAACAUGAUGGAAUUUCCAUGAUUUGUGUGACGAGCCGAAUAUUGAUAUGUAACAUUCAAAUUUUGGUGAGUGAGCGUAAUAAAAAAUAAUGUUAAGGUAACUAUGAUUUUUGUACGGGAACUGCUCGCAUGCCAGUAUAUCAUGCGUGUAACUAUUUUGUUUUUACGGCUUUAUUGAUAAUUUAUAAAACUUCAGUAUUUUAUCAUGUGUAAUAAGGUGAUGUUGUUUGUGAUUUUAUCAUUUUAGUUUGUGUUGUUUUUUUUUUGCGAGAUUUUGGCGAUGUUUUAACCAGAUUUUCCAUUGGAAAACUCUUGAUAUUUGAUUGGUGAAUAACAGUGGGCGGCUGGCUUGUAAUUUAAUUUUUACUCCCUAUAUUUCACCUAGGUAAUUUCAACUCAACUUUCACAGAAUGAUGUUCAUCAAGUGCCCAGAUGCAUAUUUGCAGAAUUUUAUGAUUUUAGCUUUUAUGGCUCCUUUGGUGUUUUUCCCCUGACUUAUUAAAUAUUGGCAAAAAACCUGGCUUUGUGAAAAUGUCUGUUCAUUUUAUUACUGUUUUUUUUUUUUAAUGAAAUGCUGUUGUUUUGAUCAAGAUAUAAAAUCAUAUCAUUUUUCGUCAUUUACCAUUAAAGUUAUACCCAGUAUUCAUAAACAUGUAUUCUAUUUUACAUCAUCAUCCUGUUGUUAAAUUUCAUGGAUGUUCAUUUCUGUCACUGACUUUGUACAUAACAUGUAUCCAUGGAAACUGUGAAGUUAAGUUAUUUAAUAAUCUGACAAGAAAUUUUAAUUUUUGAUUAUAACAGUUUAGCAUAUAAAAGCAACUAUCUGGUAAGUGUUAAAAUAGUUGUUGCCUUUGCCACCACUCUUAAGUUAAACUUAAAUUUUUGAUUUUAUUCAAAAAACACACAAAAAAAAAAAUUGUGAACUUACAUCACUGCAAAAUAUUAUGAACAUAAUUUCACUAGGAAUAAUCUUUGCACUAUGUUACAAACUUGAGUCAGAUUUUUAAAGCUGCAUGCCUCCAGAUGAGUGAAAAUAUUUCAAUGAAAUCAAACUUUAGAAAAAUGUACUAAGAUUUUAGGAAAAGAAUCAAAUAAUAUACGUACAUGUUAUGUGCGAUUAUCGACUGAUUUUUCAGUAUUUAUAACAACAUUUCUACUACGUUACUAACGCCCUAAGGUCUAUUUUUGAAUAUUUUGUCCUCUUUUUACUAAUUUACUUGGGUUGUAAGUACCAUUGAUAAUGUGUAAAUUGCUUCCUUUUGGUUAUUUCACUAAAUAAUACUUAUAGACACAUUUUCAAAAUUUUCAUGAAAAAUGGCAUGAAUCUGGAGGCGUGUUGCUUUAAAACAUAGUCUGGAAAUAUGACAAUUUGUUUGUGUUGACCACAUGAACUUUUUUCUUCACAUUACACAUUCUUCAUAUAAUACUGUAUCAUUUAUUUACAAUGUUCAUUUUGUAUAAUUCUCAUAUAUCGGCCAGUUUUUAUUCUACGGUGCAUCGUGUGAUGUAUACUACAUGACUGUACAUGUAUUAAGAAUAUGAAUUCUUUUUAAACAGUGCAAGUGGGUUGAGUGUAAGACAUAUAUACAGAAAAUUAUGAUGUUAUUUAUAGAAGUUUCCUCUCAAUGUAUGAUUUGUUUUUUUUUAUAACUCUUUGAUUUAAGUUUUUUAUGCUCUUUAAAUGCAAGGAAUUCAAACUCAGUAAUAAGGAUAUCCCCUUGUCAUUCCAAGAUGCUUCUACACGUUGAUAACCCCCUCAUUCUCUCGUCUCACCUCCCCCUUUUUAGUGAAAAUCAGGGCCAAAGAGCAACCAACUACUUCUUUUUGCAUCCAUUCAGGACAUAAGAAAAAUACAUAUCAAGAUGAUAAUAUUUCUCAGUCUAUGACAGUUUAUAAGUCAGUGAUCUGAUGCUAGUGAUAAAUUUGUUGUCAAUUUUUAAUUAUCACUGUGCUUUAUCAAACUUUACCAAUAAACACUUCACCAAAUUGAUUCUACUGAAUUUUUCCACAUGCAAAGGGGGUUCUUUAAGGGUUAUUUUUGAAAAAGGAUUAUUUAUUCUGUUAUUGAUAUACAUGUAGAUUUCCUGUAAUGGUGUAUUAAAUUAUUAUAAGAAAGUUACUGUCCCACUGAUGUAUAACUGAAAUACCAAGAAAAUACCAUAUUUUUCUCCAUGAUGCUUAAUUAAUAUGUUGUCAUUGGCCUCCCAUGCAUCAAAAUAGAAUCAAAACAAAAAAUCAACUUGCAUACAUAUUUAGUAUCAUUCAUUGAAUAAUUUAAAAAAGUAUCAUUCAUAUGACUAAAUUUAAAAUUUAUAGGUCACCUUUCGGUUAAAUUAAUAACUUUUAAGGACAUGAAUGGUGACAUGUCCGGGGUCCGCACUCUCAGUGCCUGAAAGGGCAGAUGGACCCUCAUUAAGCCUAGAGUACAUACAGGCAAUAAUAUGUCUCCUCAAACCUGCUAGCAAGUAGCAGCACCUGAACACAUACUACUUUUUUCUUGGUGAAUCUAUUUUUUUGAAAGUCGUAAACAUAUUUGUUGAAAUAAAAGGUAACUGCUAUACAAACUGAAAUAUUGUUAGUACUUAAAUGGUCUAAUGCACUAGAAGUGAACUUCAAUGUGCUCUUCAAAGUUCACUUGAUAUGCACAUUGAAGUGCACAUGUAGUGCAUACCAAGUGCACUUUGUGUAAUCUUAAGUGUGAACUCAACUGUAUAUUGUAGAUAUAUAAAGAAAAGUAACAGCAGUUUGUAAUCAAUUGUUUAUAUGUGAAACAAUACAGAGAACAGUAGACCAGCAUCAAUCAUCCAUGCUAAUUGAUAAGUGAACAUGAUUGAGUAUCUUCCACACUGUGGCAAUAUUUAUAAUAGAUUCUCGUAUAGAAUUCCAUCAGCCCUGCAAGCAGUGGAGUGGAAAAAUGUUAUUGUCUCAUUCCUCAUUGAUAUCGAUAUGUUUUGAAUCCUGAUCAAUUUUUUAAAAUAUUCUAUUCAACAUUAAAGGUUGAUUUUAAAAGUUAUUCAUUAAAAGAUGCAAUUGAGAAAGGGUGAAGCCUCAAGAUGAACUAAAGUUAAAAUAAUUUGUGAAAAGCUCGGGGCUUGUUUUGAUCAAGUCGUUUGUUGGAAAUUCUGGAAAAUGCAACAUCUCACAUGUAUUAUAGCAUGGGUUUUAUCAAAAAUAGGGAACCCUAUGCUCAAUUAUUUAAAAAUACAUGCAAAUGUAGUUACAAAUUUAGUAAAUUAUUAAUAAAUGAAUUAAUUUAAUUAAAUAAUUAAUUGAGUUUACAUUUAUACAAAAAUAAAUAGUAAUGUUACUAAUAUAUAUGAAUGAAGAAAUAUGUGGUAAUUUAAAAUGCUUCAGAAAACAAACUGAUUUCUUGCAUUUAUUCACAUAUAUUUUGUGUCAUUUCUUAAUUGCCAUUGGCUAUUCAGGUGUGGUUAAAAUGUUAAAUAAAUUAUAUAUAUUGAUAGUGUUUGGUUAACAUAAGGCGUUGAUCAAAGGUGAUAAAAAGUAGAUAAUAAUGUGGCGAGAUAUUUUUAUCAGUCUAGUAUCAGAUGUAAAUCUAAUAUCAUACAAAGCUGGAGGUGGAAUAAAGUGCUCUAGGCUGUGGGUUAGGGUUGUUUUAGUUGCAGUCACCCCAAAACCUAUACAUGGUUUACACCAGUUCUUUCAACAGAAACCAUAUUGUUAAAUACAGGUAAAAAGAUGCAUCUGUCUGUAUUACAUAAUUUAGUGGUAUGAAACCAAAUUUAGUUAUUCAAUUUAUGAUAGAGUAAUGACCCUUUCUGUUUAAUUCAUAAUAGUGAGAUGGGAGAAUUGACCUUUUAUUCAAGGGCAUGUUUUUUAGCAUAUAAAACAUAUUAU